UUGUUAUAUACUAUACUUAUUUCAUACUUUACUGCCUUUUAAUCCACAAUCUUAAUAUUAAUCUGUAAAUUUUAAGAUACCAAGGUUUGUGAGUUUUGUUGAUGAUUUUUUCGUAAUAUAGCUUCAUGUUAUGUACGGA